CAGUCGAGGGGCAGCAUGGUCUUAGCUUGCUAAGGCCGAUGGCGACCGGCGCACGGGUGAGUAACACGUAUCCAACCUGCCGUCUACUCUUGGACAGCCUUCUGAAAGGAAGAUUAAUACAAGAUGGCAUCAUGAGUCCGCAUGUUCACAUGAUUAAAGGUAUUCCGGUAGACGAUGGGGAUGCGUUCCAUUAGAUAGUAGGCGGGGUAACGGCCCACCUAGUCUUCGAUGGAUAGGGGUUCUGAGAGGAAGGUCCCCCACAUUGGAACUGAGACACGGUCCAAACUCCUACGGGAGGCAGCAGUGAGGAAUAUUGGUCAAUGGGCGAGAGCCUGAACCAGCCAAGUAGCGUGAAGGAUGACUGCCCUAUGGGUUGUAAACUUCUUUUAUAAAGGAAUAAAGUCGGGUAUGGAUACCCGUUUGCAUGUACUUUAUGAAUAAGGAUCGGCUAACUCCGUGCCAGCAGCCGCGGUAAUACGGAGGAUCCGAGCGUUAUCCGGAUUUAUUGGGUUUAAAGGGAGCGUAGGUGGACUGGUAAGUCAGUUGUGAAAGUUUGCGGCUCAACCGUAAAAUUGCAGUUGAUACUGUCAGUCUUGAGUACAGUAGAGGUGGGCGGAAUUCGUGGUGUAGCGGUGAAAUGCUUAGAUAUCACGAAGAACUCCGAUUGCGAAGGCAGCUCACUGGACUGCAACUGACACUGAUGCUCGAAAGUGUGGGUAUCAAACAGGAUUAGAUACCCUGGUAGUCCACACAGUAAACGAUGAAUACUCGCUG
rnacentral:rRNA from 1 species